UACGUAGGGUGCGAGCGUUGUCCGGAAUUAUUGGGCGUAAAGGGCUCGUAGGCGGUUUGUCGCGUCGGGAGUGAAAUCCACUGGCUUAACUGGUGGCUUGCUUUCGAUACGGGCAGACUGGAGGUAUGCAGGGGAGAACGGAAUUCCUGGUGUAGCGGUGAAAUGUGUAGAUAUUCGGAAGAACACCAGUGGCGAAGGCAGCGACUUGGCUCUGUACUGACGCUCAGGCACGAAAGCAUGGGGAUCAAACAGG
rnacentral:rRNA from 1 species